rnacentral:rRNA from 1 species
GACGUAGGGCGCGAGCGUUGUCCGGAUUUAUUGGGCGUAAAGAGCUCGUAGGCGGCUUGUCGCGUCAACUGUGAAAACCCGUGGCUCAACCAUGUGGUCUGCAGUCGAUACGGGUAGGCUAGAAUUCGGUAGGGGAGACUGGAAUUCCUGGUGUAGCGGUGAAAUGCGCAGAUAUCAGGAGGAACACCGGUGGCGAAGGCGGGUCUCUGGGCCGAUAUUGACGCUGAGGAGCGAAAGCGUGGGGAGCGAACAGG